rnacentral:rRNA from 1 species
GAAAGGUGGUGCAUGGUUGUCCUCAGCUCGUGUCGUGAGAUGUUGGGUUAAGUCCCGCAACGAGCGCAACCCUCGUUCUAUGUUGCCAGCACGUAAUGGUGGGAACUCAUGGGAUACUGCCGGGGUCAACUCGGAGGAAGGUGGGGAUGACGUCAAAUCAUCAUGCCCCUUAUGUCUUGGGCUUCACGCAUGCUACAAUGGCCGGUACAAAGGGCUGCAAUACCGUGAGGUGGAGCGAAUCCCAAAAAGCCGGUCCCAGUUCGGAUUGAGGUCUGCAACUCGACCUCAUGAAGUCGGAGUCGCUAGUAAUCGCAGAUCAGCA